ACGUAGGAGGCAAGCGUUAUCCGGAGUUACUGGGCGUAAAGGGCGUGCAGGCGUUUGGCUCCUUUCUUUUUGCCCUCUCCCCUGCUUCCCCGGGCUCUUCCAAUGAAGACUGGUCAGCUAGAGGACGGUAGAGGGGUGUGGAAUUCCGGGUGUAGUGGUGAAAUGCGUAGAGAUCCGGAGGAACACCAGAGGCGAAGGCGACACCCUGGGCCGUACCUGACGCUAAGACGCGACAGCACGGGGAGCGAACGG
rnacentral:rRNA from 1 species